rnacentral:rRNA from 1 species
GUCGAGCGACAGUAGCAAUACUGGAGCGGCAAACGGGUGCGUAACACGUGAGCAAUCUGCCCUUAAGACCGGAAUAGCCCAGGGAAACUUGGAUUAAUACCGGAUGUGGAGAAGUCAGGCAUCUGAUUUCUUCCAAAGCUUGUAACGGCGCUUAAGGAGGAGCUCGCGGCCUAUCGGCUAGUUGGCGAGGUAACGGCUCACCAAGGCUAAGACGGGUAACUGGUCUGAGAGGAUGAUCAGUCACACUGGAACUGAGACACGGUCCAGACACCUACGGGUGGCAGCAGUUUCGAAUCGUUCACAAUGGGGGCAACCCUGAUGGCGCGACGCCGCGUGGGGGAUGAAGGUCUUCGGAUUGUAAACUCCUGUCAUUGGGGACUAAUGGCCAGGCUCAUACCCUGGUUUGAAUUAACCCAAAGAGGAAGCAGUGGCUAACUCUGUGCCAGCAGCCGCGGUAAUACAGAGACUGCAAGCGCUACUCGGAUUCACUGGGCGUAAAGGGAGCGCAGGCGGACUCGUGUGUCGGACGUGAAAUACCGGGGCUUAACCCCGGUGCUGCGUUCGAAACUACGAGUCUAGAGACUUGGAGGGGUAAGCGGAAUUCUUGGUGGAGCAGUGAAAUGCGUAGAUAUCAAGAGGAACACCAACGGCGAAGGCAGCUUACUGGACAAGAUCUGACGCUCAGGCUCGAAAGCGUGGGGAGCAAAAGGGAUUAGAUACCCCUGUAGUCCACGCUGUAAACGGUGCGCA